UAAGGAAAUGCAGUUUUUCACGGUAAAGGUACUGUUACAACAGCAGAAGUCACGUGAUGCUGGUAACACGUAAUGAGUAUCUGGAACGUUCCUGAAGGCUCCAGUGUUUGCCAGACGCCCUCUAUUUUGUAUAAGACUAGCGAGAAGUGACGGGAGAGAUAAUUGAAGUGCAGACAGGCAGAGAUAGAAAUGGACAAUUGAGUCAAGCAUGGUAGGCUCCAGUGCUUGUGGCUUUAGCAUUGCUUGAAUUGGGAAUGAAAUAUGAAGAUGCUGUGGAGCUCAUUAGACAAAAGAGACAAGGAGC